UCCCUGGUGGCUCAGAUGGUAAAAGUGUCUGCCUACAAUGUAGGAGACCCAGGUUCAGUUCCUGGGCCGGGAA
rnacentral:tRNA from 1 species